rnacentral:rRNA from 1 species
GACCUGGCGCACACGUAGAAGUAAAUACCCUCUCUGUCUGUUGGGGGCCCGCCUACCAACCUAUUUCUUUCCCGCCGCCCAGCGACCCACCCAGCACCCGGGCCGGCCCUCGCCGGGGUCCCGGAUGGCCGGGGCGCCCUGCCCCUGCUCCAGCGGCUGCCCCCAUGGCCUGACCCUGUGCCAUCCGUCCUCCCACUUGCCCAUGUAGCUAUGUAGUAUGUCCUAACCCCAGCGUCACAUCCUGGAGACUGACCCGCAGCCCCCGCCCCGAGGCCCGCCUGGCCGCCCGACCGGCGCCCCGCGCCUGGCGCCCCCGCGCCGCGGCAUGCCCUGACGCCGGGAGAGGCCCACUGGCCGCGCCCCCGCCGCGAGACCACGCGGGCACGGGGGCCGGGGCGCCCCGGGCGGGCCCUCACCCCUCUGAUGGGAGGCAGCCCCCGACGUAGUACCCUGUCCGCGUAAUAUUGUAAAUUACUCUGUCUG